UACGGGGGGUGCAAGCGUUAUCCGGAUUCACUGGGUUUAAAGGGUGCGUAGGAGGGCAGGUAAGUCAGUGGUGAAAUCUCCAAGCUUAACUUGGAAACUGCCGUUGAUACUAUCUGUCUUGAAUAUUGUGGAGGUGAGCGGAAUAUGUCAUGUAGCGGUGAAAUGCUUAGAUAUGACAUAGAACACCAAUUGCGAAGGCAGCUCACUACUCAAUCAUUGACUCUGAGGCACGAAAGCGUGGGGAUCAAACAGG
rnacentral:rRNA from 1 species